GACGAACGCUGGCGGCGUGCUUAACACAUGCAAGUCGAACGGAAAGGCCCUGCUUUUGUGGGGUGCUCAAGUGGCGAACGGGUGAGUAACACGUGAGUAACCUGCCCUUGACUUUGGGAUAACUUCAGGAAACUGGGGCUAAUACCGGAUAGGAGCUCCUGCUGCAUGGUGGGGGUUGGAAAGUUUCGGCGGUUGGGGAUGGACUCGCGGCUUAUCAGCUUGUUGGUGGGGUAGUGGCUUACCAAGGCUUUGACGGGUAGCCGGCCUGAGAGGGUGACCGGCCACAUUGGGACUGAGAUACGGCCCAGACUCCUACGGGAGGCAGCAGUGGGGAAUAUUGCACAAUGGGCGGAAGCCUGAUGCAGCAACGCCGCGUGCGGGAUGACGGCCUUCGGGUUGUAAACCGCUUUCGCCUGUGACGAAGCGUGAGUGACGGUAAUGGGUAUAGAAGCACCGGCUAACUACGUG
rnacentral:rRNA from 1 species